rnacentral:rRNA from 1 species
GAUGAACGCUGGCGGCGUGCCUAAUACAUGCAAGUCGAGCGAACAGAUAAGGAGCUUGCUCCUUUGACGUUAGCGGCGGACGGGUGAGUAACACGUGGGUAACCUACCUAUAAGACUGGGAUAACUUCGGGAAACCGGAGCUAAUACCGGAUAAUAUUUCGAACCGCAUGGUUCGAUAGUGAAAGAUGGUUCUGCUAUCACUUAUAGAUGGACCCGCGCCGUAUUAGCUAGUUGGUAAGGUAACGGCUUACCAAGGCGACGAUACGUAGCCGACCUGAGAGGGUGAUCGGCCACACUGGAACUGAGACACGGUCCAGACUCCUACGGGAGGCAGCAGUAGGGAAUCUUCCGCAAUGGGCGAAAGCCUGACGGAGCAACGCCGCGUGAGUGAUGAAGGUCUUCGGAUCGUAAAACUCUGUUAUUAGGGAAGAACAUACGUGUAAGUAACUGUGCACGUCUUGACGGUACCUAAUCAGAAAGCCACGGCUAACUACGUG